AUUGAACGCUGGCGGCAGGCCUAACACAUGCAAGUCGAGCGGCAGCGGGUCCUUCGGGAUGCCGGCGAGCGGCGGACGGGUGAGUAAUGCCUAGGAAUCUGCCUGGUAGGGGGGGAUAACGUUCGGGAACGGACGCUAAUCCCGCAUCCGUCCUACGGGAGAAAGUGGGGGACUUUCGGACCUCACGCUAUCAGACUAGCCUAGGUCGGAUUAGAUAGUUGGUAGGGUAAAGGCUCACCAAGGCGACGAUCCGUAACUGGUCUGAGAGGAUGAUCAGUCACACUUGAACUGAGACACGGUCCAGACUCCUACGGGAGGCAGCAGUGGGGAAUAUUGGACAAUGGGCGAAAGCCUGAUCCAGCCAUGCCGCGUGUGUGAAGAAGGUCUUCGGAUUGUAAAGCACUUUAAGUUGGGAGGAAGGGCAGUUAGUUAAUACCUGGUUGUUUUGACGUUACCAACAGAAUAAGCACCGGCUAACUUCGUGCCAGCCGCCGCUGUAACAC
rnacentral:rRNA from 1 species